AGAUGUAACUGUCAACACUAAACAGAACGAGGACAAUAAGCAAACUGUGUAGCUCCUCCAACUGUUUUUGUUAAACUGUAUGUUUUCUUAUUUUUAUUUAUUCUUUGUAUUUUUGUGAACCUUUUGAAUCUCUGAAGUGGAAUCCUUGAACUGUGCUUUUUUUUUUUUUUUUUUAACUUAUUUAUUUGCUGUAUGUUUGGCCUUGUUUCUUUGGGUGCAUUUGUAUGUCUGCUUUCCUCCAAACAUAAGCAGGUCUGACGAGGUGACCACUCUUUUCCUGGAGGAACUGUUGCUGCAGAAACUCAAAGUGCCGCCUUCCUGUUCCGUCUGGGAAAUCCAAGGGUGGUCAUCUUGUUGAAGGUAAGAUGAACUUUUUAUUGUGGUAACGUUAGGUUUUCACCAAAGUAACCACAAGAAAGCAUGUAAGAAACCAGGUCCUGCAUUCUGAUAACUUCAUCCACAUUCAGUUUCAAACAGAUUUUCUAAUGCUGCACCUCACCUUCACUGUUUUUAAGUCAAGUAUUUUCUGCAUUUGUAUGUGUGUCUCUCUCCUUUUCCCCAACCAUCACAGAAGUGAGCAGCUUCAGUGCUGAACCUGGCAACCACCAAUGUCUUCAGGAAGGAUCUAGAUCACCUCUAAGAGACGAAGUCAGGCAUCCUUGUGCUGCAGGUAAGAUGAGACGGGGAACACCACUUAACACGCUGCCCUAUUGUCACCCAAAAGUCUGAAUGCUUCAACUCCAGGAACAACUUUUCUCUGGUUAUUAAUCAUUUUCACAAAAGGUGCGAGGUGACACGGGUGUGCUUCAGCUGUUCUCCCAAAGUUAAGGCCCACCUAAGCUCGAUCUUUGCCUGUUUUUUAUGUUGAUAACAUGUAAGGCUGGGUCAGUGUUUCCAAUGUUGUGACUAUAACCUCCUGAAAACCAGUAGGUGAUGCUACAGCUGUGUAUUUUGUGAGUACUUUGUUGUUUGCAUGUGACUCCAGGAUGUGGAUGCAGGAAAAUAUUAGCUCUUAAGUGACGCUGCAGCCUUUUCUGAUGUUUAACUGUACAGAUUUGUGUGUUUCUGUCUGUAACAAUCAUACUCAUUUUUUUGUGCCUGUUAAGACGUAGUUUUAUGUUAUUUUUCAGAAACAAGUCCUGAUCUCCUCUAGAAAAGAGCCCAACUGGAGAAGUGCGUCAGAAGUCCCAGUCAAACGGUAAAAACAUGAAUAUUAAAGCCAACACGGCUUCAACCAUAAGGUGGGUUAUUUUAUCAAAAGGUAGGUGAAUGUCUCUUUUGAAACACAACAGCUGAAACAGUCACAAUACUCUGAUGCAAAGAUGCAACAACACAAGGUUCAACGAUCAAAAACACAACAAUCAAACCAAAAACAAGGUUUUAAAAAAGUGUUUUCAGCCACACAACCACAAACCAACAAGGUUCACAACGAUGUGUUCAAAGACAAUAUGAAAACAGACAACAAGGUUCAUGAGGUGCUUUCAGGGACAUGAGGGUAACACGAACAAGGUUUAAAUGGUGCUUUCAAUGACCCAACACAAGGUUUAAAUGGUGCUUUCAAUGACAAAAGGGCAAAUCAACAAGGUUUAAAACGGUGCCCUCAGGGACACAAUGGUAAUACAAAGUUCAAAUGGUGCUUUCAAUGACAAAAGGGAAAACCACCAACAAGGUACAAAAGGUGGUUUUAACUCAAAAGCUUAACAACAACAGUCUAAAAUCAAGAAAUGCUGAAAACACUAAAUAAAAGCCAAACCAAAAAAGAAAAUUCACAACCAACCGGAGAAUGGUUCAGCAUCACUCAAGGUUAAAAAGGGUUUUAAGACUUUAAAAGGUUAUUUCUGUUUUCACGAAACUUGGUUGGCAUGAAAAACUGCAAAAUUGUCAGUUGCAAGUUUUACCAAAUACUUGCUGAGCCCACCAGUAAAACGACAAAAUCCAAAAUGCAUAAAGCAAAACAACAACUCCAAAUAAGCAAAGUUCACUCAGUUCUCCAAAAAAGGUAACCAACUCAACAAGGACAACCUCAACAUCAACUACAACUUCAGGCCUCACCGUCUCCUCUACAGCUUCAACUAACAUGGGGGGGGACAAUCAACUGGUACCAUAAAAUGUCUGUUUGUUUUUGGUUUUUUUGUUGUUGUUUUGUUUGUUUCUUUUUUACCCUCCAGUCGCUGUAAAAAUCUGAGAUGUUUGUUUUCUUUUGAGUUUUUUUUUUUCUUUUCUUUUUGACCCCCCAAUCUCUGUAAUAAUCUGAGAUCUGUACUUGUCAUGUUUUUUGUGUCCUGUUAUUCUGUAUGAGGUUUUUCUGCCUCCCUUUGGCUGCACAUGUAUGUCUCUGCUUUUCCCCUAAACAUGACGGAGGUGUCGAGCUGUGGCGUUGGAUGUGCUGACCACCACCAGGUUCUGGGAGGAUCUGAUGCUGCCCCACUUCGAUGAGCUGCUCCUCCAUCCAGACCGGGAAGUUUUUAAGAGUCACCGUCAAGCUGAAGGUAUCUGAAGUUCUCUUUUAAUGAUUCUGAUAUCAUAUUUUUAUCAGAGAGUUCUUGUAGUUGUUUUCACCGAGGUUCAAAAAACUCCAGCUUUUCUGGGGGUUUGUAGACGCCCAAGAGAAACUUGAUUGAAAAUCUGUCCGUUGAAUCUUUAAGUCUGUUUCCAAUGUAGUGACUCAUCUUUCUGCUUCUCCAAAAUCUAUCGGGUGUUGUUACAGAGUCUACACCCAUGAAGACCCUGGCAGACCCCAUCACCUGCUGGACUCCGAGCCUAUGCACACUGGGUUACAGGUGAGCAUGGCGUACAGAUUUCACCACCUACAAAGAAACAUGGUUUUAUCUGAUGCAUCCAGAUUUCCUAAUCUCUUCCAAUUUGAAUCUCCCCCAAACACCAGUGCUUUGCCCACUUUGAGGGACGGAUCUUCAUUCUGGACCCACUGAUCCUGAACUGAAGUCUGCACCAGCACAGAAACCUGCCCCUUGACACCAUCGGACUCUACCAGAUGCCAUGGGCACCAUCCCCGAGAAACCGGUACAUAAAACAGAGAUAAUGAUUCACUUAUAGGUUAAAAACUGUGCCGUCUAAAGACUACAUUUGUACCUUUUUUUUAAUGUCUUUUUAUUUUAUUUUUUUAAGGACUACACCGAGACGUUGAUGACCCCCUCUUGCUCCAGGACCCGGCUGAAGAAUGAAGACAAAGACUUGGUC